CCCAAUCCUAAUUCAGGGAGGUAGUGACAAGAAAUAACAACUCGGGCCUCACUGAGGCUACGAGAUUGCAAUGAGAACAAUUUAAACCACUUAUCGAGUAACAAUUGGAGUGCAAGUCUGGUGCCAGCAGCCGCGGUAAUUCCAGCUCCAAUAGCGUAUAUUAAAGUUGUUGUAGUUAAAAAGCUCGUAGUUGAAUUUCUGACCGGCGCUGUACUGGCUCUUGUAGUCGGUGCUGUACUUGGUCAUCCGUACGGGAAGCUAGCUUGACCUUCACUGGUCGACUAGUGGAUCGUACACUUUACUUUGAAAAAAUUAGAGUGUUUCAGGCAGGCAAUUGCUUGGAUACUGCAGCAUGGAAUAAUGGGAUAGGACUUUGACCUAUUUGUUGGUUUCUCGAGGUCAAAGUAAUGAUUAAUAGGGAUUGUUGGGGGCAUUCGUAUUUAAUUGUCAGAGGUGGAAUUCUUGGAUUUAUUAAAGACGAACUUAUGCGAAAGCAUUUGCCAAGGAUGUUUU
rnacentral:rRNA from 1 species